GACGAACGCUGGCGGCGUGCUUAACACAUACAAGUCGAACGGAAAGGCCCUGCUUUUGUGGGGUGCUCGAGUGGCGAACGGGUGAGUAACACGUGAGUAACCUGCCCUUGACUUUGGGAUAACUUCAGGAAACUGGGGCUAAUACCGGAUAGGAGCUCCUGCUGCAUGGUGGGGGUUGGAAAGUUUCGGCGGUUGGGGAUGGACUCGCGGCUUAUCAGCUUGUUGUUGGGGUAGUGGCUUACCAAGGCUUUGACGGGUAGCCGGCCUGAGAGGGUGACCGGCCACAUUGGGACUGAGAUACGGCCCAGACUCCUACGGGAGGCAGCAGUGGGGAAUAUUGCACAAUGGGCGGAAGCCUGAUGCAGCAACGCCGCGUGCGGGAUGACGGCCUUCGGGUUGUAAACCGCUUUCGCCUGUGACGAAGCGUGAGUGACGGUAAUGGGUAAAGAAGCACCGGCUAACUACGUG
rnacentral:rRNA from 1 species